GUGAGGAAUAUUGCGCAAUGGAGGCAACUCUGACGCAGUCAUGCCGCGUGCAGGAAGAAGGCGCUACGCGUUGUAAACUGCUUUUAACCGGGAAGAAACCCCAGGACGUGUCCUGGGUUGACGGUACCGGAGGAAUAAGCACCGGCUAACUUCGUGCCAGCAGCCGCGGUAAUACGAAGGGUGCAAGCGUUAUCCGGAUUCAUUGGGUUUAAAGGGUGCGUAGGCGGAGCGUUAAGUCAGUGGUGAAAUCCUGCAGCUUAACUGUAGACUUGCCAUUGAUACUGGCGCUCUUGAGUUCGCGUGAAGUGGGCGGAAUGUGCCGUGUAGCGGUGAAAUGCUUAGAUAUGGCACAGAACACCAAUUGCGAAGGCAGCUCACUAAGGCGAUACUGACGCUGAGGCACGAAAGCGUGGGGAUCGAACAGGAUUAGAAACCCCUGUAGUCC
rnacentral:rRNA from 1 species